GCGGGGCUGGGGCGAGGUCUCACUAAGUUGCGGGGCUCGCGGGACCGGGAGCUGGGCUGGCGGCGUCUUGCUGAGAGCUCCCAAUUGGAGGGGAAGAACCUCGUAACGGAGACCCGCAAUGGAAUGGAUUGACCCUGGCAGAGGUUGGAUGAGGCCAGAGCGGGUCUAGGGACACAGGAGACACAGGUCCCAGAGGCUGAGCCCGUCACUGAGUCCUGCGCACACAAGCAUGUUCUGGGAGCAGCCGGCCGGCACAUGGCGGGCGGGCGGCCACCCUCCCCAGACACACACGGCUCUCCGGGGCCCACAGGCUAGCAAGGCAGCCCGCCAGGCCAGCUUCACGCACAGGACUGGGUCACCCCCUCCACCACCACAGUGCCCUCCGGAGGCCAGAAGCAUGAGGCGCCUUCGGACCACAGGAGAUGGGUUUUGGGAGAUGAACAAGGUUCUAUUUCCGAUUUAGGGGCAGACCAGGGCCAUGGGGGCAUCAAGACCACCACCAGACGCCACGAGAUCUAAAAUCCAUACAAACAUUUAUUCUGUUCCUGCCUCGGGUCUGGGGACCAGGGAUCAGGGCCCUAGGGGGACUGCAGGCCUUCACAGACAGCCCCGGGGGGGAAAGCAGGGCUCCAGCAGGAAGACAGGGUCCAGAGGCUGGUGGGCCCUGGAGGGGUCCCAAAGGCGAGACCCUGGAGGGUGGCAGGGGGGCUGGCUCGGUUCCCAGAUGUCGCGGAGUCCCGGUAGGUUUGGGGAGGCCAGUUUCCACCAGCUCAGCCUGGGCCAGGCUGGACUCUCCAUCCUGGUGGCUGCCAAGGUGCCGGGCCCGGCCCCCCGACUUCUCCCCCCCGCUCCCCUGCCCCCAACAGGGAAGGCAGCACCAGGGUCCUGCUUCUCUGGGUGGGGAAAGACAACUGUGCGAGUUGCCAGAUUUAAAUUACAAAUAAUAAAAAUAACAAUACAAAAUAAAAAAGACAAGCCCUGUCUCAAACGCACCC